GCUAGUGUGGCAUAGUGGUUUGAGUUCUGGACUAUGACUCUGGAGACCAGGGUUCAAUUGACAGCUCAUGCU